GGUAGGGUUGGAGAUCUUUGAAAAACGGUUCCUGUGAGCUAUAUUUUUGAAAAUACACAGCCCGCCUCUCCCUUCAGCCCUCCCCUCAAAGCCACGCCUUCAAAACACAUGAACGCGCAUGCAGUCUGUCAAGUGUUCGGAUUAUCCCGGGAACCCACGAGAGCUCACGAGGCGGGGGGGGCGGGCUAGAAGCCACGACAAAGCGACUAGCCAAGCUAACUUCCAGCCAUGGCACCGUCUCCGGCUACGACCUUCCACGACCACGAGAGCUCCAGCUCUGACUUUCCUGGCCCAUCACAAUCAUAACGACCUAACAGCCCAGUAGGACCGAUGGCCAGAGAUGGAGGAGGAGGAAGAUAGACGCAGCAGAGGUCGGGGGGUAUUGAUUAGGGAGACUCCAACAGAAUUGACGCCCUGCUAACUGUAAGGAUGUACAUUCAUCCCUCAAUAACAUUGUCCUGCUGUAUUCCUGCAGAUGUGUAAGUAUUGUAAUGGAUGUUAUCACAACGGAUGUACUCUAUAUCGCAACACGAGUAGGCUACACGAGUACACCUGUUGUGAUAACCAUUACAAUAUUUCUACUCCUAUGAGUAGUAGUGUGAUAUUACAUGGUUGUAGGUACACAACACCAGUGGUAGUUCAAGUACAUCCAUAAAAGCCCAUCUACUUCAUACAUCUGUGUAACCCCUGGCACAACACCAGUUUGUAAGAAAUUGACUGAAAACGUUGUAUGCAUAUAAUUGGCACAUCUUUAUUUAUAUACACAAUAAUGAUUGCUUAUGUCCAUAUUGGUCUUAUUGUCAAUAGAGUUAUUUAGUCCCCAUCAUCAAAUAGAAAAUGCACUACAUAAAAUGUAUUUAUUGCUUUGCAGGCCUUGAUUCAAUCAUUGAAUUUGAAGCAAUCCCAUCGGUUACUGCAGCGUGCCCUGACCCGUGACCCCAGUUUGAUGUUCGACCUGGCACAUGACGGUCCUUAGUCACAGCCCAGUAGCACAACCAACCUGGCGCCUCUGCGCAAUCUGUAAGGAGAUGCCCAUGAACAUUGAAAGGAAAUGCUGUGGUGUUCUCAGUUUUGAGAAGACUUUGGGCUGAUGUAGGACCAGGUGAGAGAAACGGUCUCUUCAGGCAUGCAGCCUACAGACAGUAUGGGGCACUUGAACAGGGCUGACGUUGUAAUACACAGUACAAUACCCAGGAUUAGCCAGGGUUACCCUGCUCCACUAGAGCAAUAUAAAAGGUUUAUACAGAGUACGGUAUAAAACACACAAACCGGCAGUGUGCAGACUUUUAUUAUUUUUCAUUAUCUGUAGGAGCAUUCAUCUGUACAUCUCACCUUUUUGGUUUGGAACCACGUUUGUCUUGUUACCAUUGUUUUUUUCAUACAUAGAAAAUAAAUGCAACCUGUCAAAUGUU